GCUAGUAAUGGCAGGCCAGCAUACUGCCGUGAAUACGUUCCCGGGCCUUGUACACACCGCCCGUCACACCAUGAGAGUUGGGAAUACCCGAAGCCUGUGAGCUAACUUUUAGAGGCAGCAGUCGAAGGUAGAAUCAAUGAUUGGGGCGAAGUCGUAACAAGGUAAC
rnacentral:rRNA from 1 species